AAAUAGUCUGGCUCGCUCUAACGCCUCGAUCUACGGCAACAAGGAAGAUCUCUAUGACCGCCUGCGCAAACAUGCAUACCAGGGAAAGAAAGAUAAAGACGAGACAGGUGACAGUGACGACCAAAAUCUCUGAUUCUUGUUGUUUAUUCUAAAGUGUCAAAACAUAUAUCUAUUAUGUUAAUUAGUUUCUAAUUAAUUUACGACGUGGUCAUCUAUUCUUUUUUUUUCUCUCUUACAAAAUGACAAAAAAAGGAGAAUCGGUAAAUAAUGUAUAGUAAACGACUCCACCGGUUGGCAAAAAAAAAAAAGCUUCUGGAAAAUGAUGGCAUUAUCUCCACAUAUCACCAACCGCAAGGAAUCUCUACUGACGGUGCCUGUCCUUAGACUAGGAGCAAAGAAGCACGGUUAGACGGAGGCUAACGCGGCCCUGCAGGUGACUCCUUGGCCCCUGGCUAACCUGCCCCGUGCCCUGAUAUGUUCAUCAGUGGAUGACACCCUUAAUGUUAACCCGGAACUGGAUCUCAAGGCGGGAGACUAGGAACAAUAGUUUAUGUCAAAGGGUUUAUGCUUUCAGAAGACAAAGUCACGGAGAAAGUCUUAAAAACUGUAGUGUUAGGAGUCGGUAUUUCUCCUCCCCUUGAGGUCCACUUCCGAGGGACAGACUUGUGUGAAGUUAAUUAUAUUUUUUUUCCCGAACUCAGGUGCGUGGAUCAGUUAUCACGUGUGAAUGCGAGUGUCUGUGAUUUGUUAUACUAUUCUCAAGCUUAUCUGUUUGUCAGACAAUUACAAAAUCGUUUUUCUACUGGUAAUGUAAUUUUACCAAACACCAUGGUUUGUGCAGGCAAUCCUUAUUUAUUUAUGCACUAGUUAACAUUUCUUUAUCUUUUAUUUUGUAUUUGCCGAGGAUAAAUUAUGACUACUUGAGAUUGGUGCGAAAGAGAUCUGAGUUCAGAGCUGUACAAGAAUACAGUUUUAAUGUAUUGUUAAGUUUAUUGUGGGAUGCAGUAAGGUUUUUAAAAAUUUUACUGUUUAAUUGUUUAUAUGGAUUAAAUACAUUCCAAAGUAUAUUUCACAACUGUAUAACUUUAUAGGCUACAAUAUUAUUGUAAAAAAAAUAUUUCCUUGCGGACAUUUCUCUGUCCUGCUCAAGAUUGUGAAUACACGUUAUUUUUUGUCAAAUAUUUGUAUACUGUAAUAUUAACAAACAUACUCUGUAAGCCCUUACAACACAUAAAUAAACUUAAAUUUUAA